rnacentral:rRNA from 1 species
AGAGUUUGAUCAUGGCUCAGGAUGGACGCUGGCGGCGUGCUUAACACAUGCAAGUCGAACGAAGCACUUUAACUUGAUUCUUCGGAUGAAGGUUUUUGUGACUGAGUGGCGGACGGGUGAGUAACGCGAGGGUAACCUGCCUCAUACAGGGGGAUAACAGUUAGAAAUGACUGCUAAUACCGCAUAAGACCACAGAGCCGCAUGGCUCGGUGGGAAAAACUCCGGUGGUAUGAGAUGGACCCGCGUCUGAUUAGGUAGUUGGUGGGGUAACGGCCUACCAAGCCAACGAUCAGUAGCCGACCUGAGAGGGUGACCGGCCACAUUGGGACUGAGACACGGCCCAAACUCCUACGGGAGGCAGCAGUGGGGAAUAUUGCACAAUGGGGGGAACCCUGAUGCAGCGACGCCGCGUGAGCGAAGAAGUAUUUCGGUAUGUAAAGCUCUAUCAGCAGGGAAGAAAAUGACGGUACCUGACUAAGAAGCACCGGCUAAAUACGUGCCAGCAGCCGCGGUAAUACGUAUGGUGCAAGCGUUAUCCGGAUUUACUGGGUGUAAAGGGAGCGUAGACGGCUGUGUAAGUCUGAAGUGAAAGCCCGGGGCUCAACCCCGGGACUGCUUUGGAAACUAUGCAGCUAGAGUGUCGGAGAGGUAAGUGGAAUUCCCAGUGUAGCGGUGAAAUGCGUAGAUAUUGGGAGGAACACCAGUGGCGAAGGCGGCUUACUGGACGAUGACUGACGUUGAGGCUCGAAAGCGUGGGGAGCAAACAGGAUUAGAUACCCUGGUAGUCCACGCCGUAAACGAUGACUACUAGGUGUCGGGGAGCAAAGCUCUUCGGUGCCGCAGCAAACGCAAUAAGUAGUCCACCUGGGGAGUACGUUCGCAAGAAUGGAACUCAAAGGAAUUGACGGGGACCCGCACAAGCGGUGGAGCAUGUGGUUUAAUUCGAAGCAACGCGAAGAACCUUACCUGCUCUUGACAUCCCGGUGACCGGCAUGUAAUGAUGCCUUUUCUUCGGAACACCGGUGACAGGUGGUGCAUGGUUGUCGUCAGCUCGUGUCGUGAGAUGUUGGGUUAAGUCCCGCAACGAGCGCAACCCUUAUCUUCAGUAGCCAGCAAUUCGGAUGGGCACUCUGGAGAGACUGCCAGGGAUAACCUGGAGGAAGGUGGGGAUGACGUCAAAUCAUCAUGCCCCUUAUGAGCAGGGCUACACACGUGCUACAAUGGCGUAAACAAAGGGAAGCGAGCCUGCGAGGGUAAGCAAAUCUCAAAAAUAACGUCUCAGUUCGGAUUGUAGUCUGCAACUCGACUACAUGAAGCUGGAAUCGCUAGUAAUCGCG